CAAGAGAAAGCCCAGGAGGAGGAAGAGGAGAGUGGUGAGGAGAACAGAGAGGAGCCCAGACCCAGCCCUUAGUCUCUCUGGAGGACGGAGGUUUAGUGUCCAGAUCCGGUAGAGUGACAGUGAGCAGGAAGCAUCAACAGCACAGCCCUGAACCCAUGAAGCAGGGACAGGAGGCUCUGGUGAAAGAACGUUCCAGAACGCCGAACUUAGAUGCAGACGCAGAAGGCUCCGCACCAGGGCAGAGGGCAAGUUGAGCGGCUCUCCUGCGAGCGGAGCAGAGACAGGUGGACCCAAACAGCAAAAGAGAUAUCGCGAGACCCUGGGAUCCCGCGGACCAACGCCGCGUGUGGAGAGAGGGCGUCUCGUCGCUCCAGCAGGAAGGCGCCCCCAGCCCACCGCUGGUCCUCCCGCUGCCGUUGAAGUGCCGUGCCUCCCUCCGCUGUAGGCAGGCCCAGGCGGGGACGGUCCCGCUCCUCCGAGGCCUUCCUCCGGGUCUGUCCCGUGUCUUCUGUCCUGAGGAGACUGAAUGACCGAAGAGGUGACGUCCCGACGUGCGGCCCUGCGCUCCGGUUUUAUGACCCAGAAUGGAUGAAUACAUUGCCAAGAUGUUCGGCCAUUCAGAAAUCGUCACCAGCAUGAAGUUCACCUACGACUGAUCACAGUGUCCGGAGACAACUGCGUCUUCGUCCAGCACGUGGGCCGCGAGAUCACCAGCUGCUUGAAGCAGCACUUGCUGGAGAUCAACCCCCAGGAGCAGCAGCAGCAGAACACAAAGGAUAGGAAGGGGAGCAGCCGGCCCAGGCAGGAGGCCAAUACCCAGGCCUGAGAUGUGCUCCCUGAGCCCUGGGAGCAGACGGGGAAUGAGGCAGACGGAGAGUGUGAACCCGAAGAGGUGCUGAAGAUGCCGUCGAAAGAGAGCUUGGGUCCAGAUCUUCAGUGCCUGCUGAUCAACGGCAUGCUGCCACUCUGGGCAAGGCAGCUGGUGAGUCUGCCUGGAAAGCGGGACACCGAGGGGCUAACACAGUAUAGUGCCCUUCUCCAUGCCCCUUGUUUUUCUGGGAACCCUUUCCCCUUGACAUCUCUGCUUUCCUUGGAGAACCCCCGUCCUGCUUCCAGUCUCUGUUAUACAGCCUUUCGUUCAUCCCACGUGUAUUUACUGCAUGCCUACCCUGUGCUUUUGACACUGUUCAUGGGGUUCUCAAGGCAAGAAUACUGAAGUGGUUCUCCUUCCCUUCUCCAGUGGGCCAUGUUUUGUCAAAGCUUUCCACCAUGACUCAUCCAAUUUGGGCUAGAAGGGUUUCCCUGGUAGCUCAGUGGUAAAGAACCUGCCUCUCAAUGCAGGAGACUCGGGUUCAGUCCCUGGGUUGGUAAGAUCCCCUGAAGGAGGAAAUGGCAACCCACUCCAGGAUUCUUGCCAGGAAAAUCCCUCGGACAGAGGAACCUGGCGGGCUACAGUCCUUGAGGUCACAAGAGUGAGACACAGCUUACAACAACAAAUGGACUAUCUGGGUGAAUGUUUCAUGGGUGUUUUAAAACAGCAUGUGUUCUACAGUUGUUAGGUACGUGUUCUGUAAGUGUUAAUUUAGUCAAGUUUGUUGGCCACGGUGUUUAAGUCUAUAUCUACAUUGAGCCUCUGCUUGCUCUGUCAAUUUCUGGCAAAAGUAUGUUGAAAUCUCCAAGUCUAACUGGAUUUUUCUAUCUAUUUUUCCAGGUCUAUCAGUUUUUUGAAUUCAUAUGUUUUGAAGCUAUUCUAUAAGAUGCAUAUACUUUUAGUUUUAUGCUUUUAAUUAAUUGAUAUUAUCACUGUAAAAUGUUCUUCUUUAUCCCUGGUAGUGUUUCUGG
ensembl:lncRNA